rnacentral:rRNA from 1 species
AGAGUUUGAUUAUGGCUCAGGACGAACGCUGGCGGCGUGCCUAACACAUGCAAGUCGAACGAAGCUCCGUGAGAUGAGAUUCGUCAAAUGGAUCGGAUGGCUUAGUGGCGGACGGGUGAGUAAUGCGUGAGCGACCUGCCCUUCGGAGGGGGACAACAGUUGGAAACGACUGCUAAUACCGCAUGAUGUAUCGUGAAGGCAUCUUCGUGAUACCAAAGAUUUAUCGCCGAGGGAUGGGCUCACGUCUGAUUAGCUAGUUGGUGAGGUAACGGCCCACCAAGGCUGCGAUCAGUAGCCGGACUGAGAGGUUGAACGGCCACAUUGGGACUGAGAUACGGCCCAGACUCCUACGGGAGGCAGCAGUGGGGAAUAUUGGGCAAAUGGGGGAAACCCUGACCCAGCAACGCCGCGUGAAGGAAGAAGGCUUUCGGGUUGUAAACUUCUUUUAACAGGGAAGAUAAUGACGGUACCUGUUGAAUAAGCCACGGCUAACUACGUGCCAGCCGCGGC